GCAGCGAUGUCCGAGUGGUUAAGGUGUUUGACUAGAAAUCAAAUAGGCUUCGCCUGCGCAGGUUCGCUGCG
rnacentral:tRNA from 1 species